GAGUUUGAUCGUGGCUCAGAUUGAACGCUGGCGGCAUGCCUUACACAUGCAAGUCGAACGGCAGCAUGAUCUAGCUUGCUAGAUUGAUGGCGAGUGGCGAACGGGUGAGUAAUACAUCGGAACGUGCCCUGUAGUGGGGAUAACUAGUCGAAAGAUUAGCUAAUACCGCAUACGACCUGAGGGUGAAAGUGGGGGACCGCAAGGCCUCAUGCUAUAGGAGCGGCCGAUGUCUGAUUAGCUAGUUGGUGGGGUAAAGGGCCCACCAAGGCGACGAUCAGUAGCUGGUCUGAGAGGACGAUCAGCCACACUGGGACUGAGACACGGCCCAGACUCCUACGGGAGGC
rnacentral:rRNA from 1 species